CACGUAGGGCGCAAGCGUUGUCCGGAAUUAUUGGGCGUAAAGGGCUCGUAGGCGGUCUGUUGCGUCGGGAGUGAAAACUCAGGGCUUAACCCUGAGCCUGCUUCCGAUACGGGCAGACUAGAGGUAUGCAGGGGAGAACGGAAUUCCUGGUGUAGCGGUGAAAUGCGCAGAUAUCAGGAGGAACACCGGUGGCGAAGGCGGUUCUCUGGGCUGACACUGACGCUCAUGCACGAAAGCGUGGGGAGCAAACAGG
rnacentral:rRNA from 1 species